rnacentral:rRNA from 1 species
UAGCACAGAGAGCUUGCUCUCGGGUGACGAGCGGCGGACGGGUGAGUAAUGUCUGGGAAACUGCCUGAUGGAGGGGGAUAACUACUGGAAACGGUAGCUAAUACCGCAUAACGUCGCAAGACCAAAGUGGGGGACCUUCGGGCCUCAUGCCAUCAGAUGUGCCCAGAUGGGAUUAGCUAGUAGGUGGGGUAACGGCUCACCUAGGCGACGAUCCCUAGCUGGUCUGAGAGGAUGACCAGCCACACUGGAACUGAGACACGGUCCAGACUCCUACGGGAGGCAGCAGUGGGGAAUAUUGCACAAUGGGCGCAAGCCUGAUGCAGCCAUGCCGCGUGUGUGAAGAAGGCCUUCGGGUUGUAAAGCACUUUCAGCGGGGAGGAAGGCGGUAAGGU